AGUUAACUUAAAAAUUUUAUGUUUCCAGUCAAAAAAUUGAAUAAUUCAAGCUCAGUUAUGAGUAACAGCACAAAUCAGAAUGGACUGUGGAUCCUGCAGUUAAUCCAGAACCAAAAGCAGCCCAUUACCUAUGAGAGGAUCAUAGCCCUUAUCGAAGAAGUAAAAAAAGAGCCGUUGGAUACACAGGAGAAAAUAAUAAUAAAUGCCACAUUGCGAGCUGGCCUGCGACUUGGCUUUUUUCAACGCGUCGGUAAAAAGUUUUCAGUGCCAAUACUCCAUUAGAAAAUGUCCAAUUACUGUAUGCAGCUCAAACUAAACCAAAAUUAAAGCAGUUGAUGUACCCAUGCCGACAGAUAGAAUAUCACUUUUCAAAUAAACAAUAUGAUUUAUCACUUA